rnacentral:rRNA from 1 species
UACGUAGGGUGCAAGCGUUGUCCGGAAUUACUGGGCGUAAAGCGCACGUAGGCGGACAUUUAAGUCAGGGGUGAAAUCCCAGGGCUCAACCCUGGAACUGCCUUUGAUACUGUCGAUCUGGAGUAUGGAAGAGGUGAGUGGAAUUCCGAGUGUAGAGGUGAAAUUCGUAGAUAUUCGCAAGAACACCAGUGGCGAAGGCGGCUCACUGGCCCGGUACUGACGCUGAGGUGCGAAAGCGUGGGGAGCAAACAGGG